UACGUAGGGGGCUAGCGUUGUCCGGAAUCAUUGGGCGUAAAGCGCGUGUAGGCGGUCCGGUAAGUCCGCUGUGAAAGUCGGGGGCUCAACCCUCGGAUGCCGGUGGAUACUGUCGGGCUUGAGUACGGAAGAGGCGAGUGGAAUUCCUGGUGUAGCGGUGAAAUCGCGCAGAUAUCAGGAGGAACACCAAUUGCGAAGGCAGCUCGCUGGACGUUGACUGACGCUGAGACGCGAAGCGUGGGAGCAAACAGG
rnacentral:rRNA from 1 species